rnacentral:rRNA from 1 species
CCUACGGGAGGCAGCAGUGGGGAAUUUUCCGCAAUGGGCGAAAGCCUGACGGAGCAACGCCGCGUGAGGGAUGAAGGCCUCUGGGCUGUAAACCUCUUUUAUCAAGGAAGAAGAUCUGACGGUACUUGAUGAAUAAGCCACGGCUAAUUCCGUGCCAGCAGCCGCGGUAAUACGGGAGUGGCAAGCGUUAUCCGGAAUUAUUGGGCGUAAAGCGUCCGCAGGCGGUCUUGUAAGUCUGUCGUUAAAGCGUGGAGCUCAACUCCAUUUCGGCGGUGGAAACUACAAGACUAGAGUGUGGUAGGGGCAGAGGGAAUUCCCGGUGUAGCGGUGAAAUGCGUAGAUAUCGGGAAGAACACCAGUGGCGAAGGCGCUCUGCUGGGCCAUAACUGACGCUCAUGGACGAAAGCUAGGGGAGCGAAAGGGAUUAGAUACCCCUGUAGUCCUAGCCGUAAACGAUGAACACUAGGUGUCGGGGAAUCGACCCCCUCGGUGUCGUAGCUAACGCGUUAAGUGUUCCGCCUGGGGAGUACGCACGCAAGUGUGAACUUAGAAGUAGUAGCGUGAGAGUGCGACGACGACACAGGGAGAGG